rnacentral:rRNA from 1 species
GACGAACGCUGGCGGCGUGCUUAACACAUGCAAGUCGAACGGUGAUGCUCCAGCUUGCUGGAGUGGAUCAGUGGCGAACGGGUGAGUAACACGUGAGCAACCUGCCCCAGACUCUGGAAUAAGCGCUGGAAACGGCGUCUAAUACUGGAUACGAAACUGGCCCGCAUGGGCAUGGUUUGGAAAGUUUUUCGGUUUGGGAUGGGCUCGCGGCCUAUCAGCUUGUUGGUGAGGUAAUGGCUCACCAAGGCGACGACGGGUAGCCGGCCUGAGAGGGCGACCGGCCACACUGGGACUGAGACACGGGCCAGACUCCUACGGGAGGCAGCAGUGGGGAAUAUUGCACAAUGGGCGAAAGCCUGAUGCAGCGACGCCGCGUGAGGGAUGACGGCCUUCGGGUUGUAAACCUCUUUCAGCAGGGAAGAAGCGAAAGUGACGGUACCUGCAGAAGAAGCACCGGCUAACUACGUG